rnacentral:hammerhead_ribozyme from 1 species
CUGCUGAGGAGUCUCACAAUAGGACGAAACGUGCGUCAAACAG